ACAGGUUGCAGCCUGUAUAAAUAGGUUAUUAAGCUGCAAGCGUUUGCACCUGUAAUAAGGUGCAAGGUUAAC
rnacentral:ribozyme from 1 species